AGGACGAACGCUGGCGGCGUGCUUAACACAUGCAAGUCAAGGGGACCCGCAAGGGUAACCGGCGAACGGGUGCGUAACACGUGAGCAACCUACCGAGAUGAGGGGGAUAGCCGGCCCAACGGCCGGGUAAUACCGCAUACGCUCUUUCCACGGCAUUGUGGAUUGAGGAAACCUCCGGGGCAUUUCGAGGGGGCUCGCGGCCUAUCAGCUAGUUGGCGAGGUCACGGCUCACCAAGGCGACGACGGGUAGCUGGUCUGAGAGGAUGGCCAGCCACAUUGGGACUG
rnacentral:rRNA from 1 species